rnacentral:rRNA from 1 species
CGGGACACGUGGUAUCCUGUCUGAAUAUGGGGGGACCAUCCUCCAAGGCUAAAUACUCCUGACUGACCGAUAGUGAACCAGUACCGUGAGGGAAAGGCGAAAAGAACCCCGGCGAGGGGAGUGAAAAAGAACCUGAAACCGUGUACGUACAAGCAGUGGGAGCCUCUUUAUGGGGUGACUGCGUACCUUUUGUAUAAUGGGUCAGCGACUUAUAUUCUGUAGCAAGGUUAACCGAAUAGGGGAGCCGAAGGGAAACCGAGUCUUAACUGGGCGUUAAGUUGCAGGGUAUAGACCCGAAACCCGGUGAUCUAGCCAUGGGCAGGUUGAAGGUUGGGUAACACUAACUGGAGGACCGAACCGACUAAUGUUGAAAAAUUAGCGGAUGACUUGUGGCUGGGGGUGAAAGGCCAAUCAAACCGGGAGAUAGCUGGUUCUCCCCGAAAGCUAUUUAGGUAGCGCCUCGUGAAUUCAUCUCCGGGGGUAGAGCACUGUUUCGGCAAGGGGGUCAUCCCGACUUACCAACCCGAUGCAAACUGCGAAUACCGGAGAAUGUUAUCACGGGAGACACACGGCGGGUGCUAACGUCCGUCGUGAAGAGGGAAACAACCCAGACCGCCAGCUAAGGUCCCAAAGUCAUGGUUAAGUGGGAAACGAUGUGGGAAGGCCCAGACAGCCAGGAUGUUGGCUUAGAAGCAGCCAUCAUUUAAAGA